GCCGGCCUAGCUCAAUUGGUAGAGCAACUGACUUGUAAUCAGUAGGUUGGGGGUUCAAUUCCUCUGGCCGGCACCA
rnacentral:tRNA from 1 species